AUGUGCCGUGGAGAAGUGCCACCGGCGGACUUGGCCUGGCAUAUCGGGCAAGCUACCUCAUGUUUGACAACGGACAAGGACAACGGAAUACGUACUUGUUGGAGUACAGAUCGAGACGGCUGGAGCACGUACGGAGCUACGUACAGCAACCAAUGGCUAGCAUUGCUAUAUCUCCGGUGUCCAUCUUUCCGUUUCCUCGAACACACGGCACGCUCAAGCGCGUGCCUCAAAUUCACGGAGCACGCACGAACUUCCGCGUGUGGCCGACUUGAAGAUUUGCCACUCCACGAAAACUCAAACGUGUGCUCGGUUCGGGCCGAUGACGAUCUGUGGCACGUAGGCACGACAACACGUGGAUUUCCCGCCAUCUUCGCGGUUCAAAAAAUAGUUUGGACUUUGCAGGAGGGUCCGGUGAGGGGCGAUUAG
rnacentral:rRNA from 1 species